GAUGAACGCUGGCGGCGUGCUUAACACAUGCAAGUCGAACGAAGCACUUUAUUUGAUUUCCUUCGGGACUGAUUAUUUUGUGACUGAGUGGCGGACGGGUGAGUAACGCGUGGGUAACCUGCCUUGUACAGGGGGAUAACAGUUGGAAACGGCUGCUAAUACCGCAUAAGCGCACGGCAUCGCAUGAUGCAGUGUGAAAAACUCCGGUGGUAUAAGAUGGACCCGCGUUGGAUUAGCUAGUUGGUGAGGUAACGGCCCACCAAGGCGACGAUCCAUAGCCGACCUGAGAGGGUGACCGGCCACAUUGGGACUGAGACACGGCCCAGACUCCUACGGGAGGCAGCAGUGGGGAAUAUUGCACAAUGGGCGAAAGCCUGAUGCAGCGACGCCGCGUGAGCGAAGAAGUAUUUCGGUAUGUAAAGCUCUAUCAGCAGGGAAGAUAAUGACGGUACCUGACUAAGAAGCACCGGCUAAAUACGUG
rnacentral:rRNA from 1 species